UACUUUUAGCGGUAACGAGCAUGUAACAAAGUAUUUUUUUAACGCAGUUACAAUUAUUGAAAUUUAAAUUAGUUCGUUAUGCGCGUUACUCUCUUUUGUGAAAAAUGAACACUUGCAGACAAGAAGACAAGAUAGGCCUACUUUAGCUGCUUCUGAUCUGACAGCGCAGGACCUUGGUGGCGCAAUGAUACACCAAUCGAAUCACUCAAUGAGCAUUAAACCACAUCAUGGCCGACACGUGCGGAAUGAGCUUUCUCUCCUGGAAGUAUGGACAGUACUUUUCGCUCGUCGAAAGUAAAGACAAAAAUGUAGUGGUGAGUUGUAAAUUAUGUGCAGGUGCAAAGACCCUAUCCACAUCUAAGAGUAGCAAUUCCAAUCUUAUGAAUCUGUUGAAACAACACGCUACGACAAAGCUAGUAGCGAAAGACCCCAGCCCUACGGAUGCUGAAGGUGCCACUCCAUGCAAAUAACCAAGGCUAGACUUUACACGGACUGCAGUGCAGCCGAUAAGCCAGGCAGAGCUGAAUAAAUUGAUUCCUAGGUAUGUUGUCGAUGACAUGCAUCCUCUGUCAACUGUCGAGUCAGUUGCCUUCAGGCAACUAAUAAGCAAAAUUUCGGUUAUAAAUGGAGGCUCGGGGCAAAUGUGCAGGAACACGUUUUCCAGCUAUUUAGACAGAGAAUAUGCGAAAAUGCAGGUCGAGCUAAAGAAAACAUUUGAGGGUUUACAACAUGUCUCUACCACAUCAGACAUCUGGACUGCUUACAAUAAAAGCUUUCUAGGUGUAACUGCACACUGGAUUAAUCCGAACAAAAUGCUACGUGGGAAAUCAGCCCUGGCAUGCCAGAGAUUCAAGGGCCGACAUACGACAUAUGACAUUAUUGCAACCGAAAUAGACAACAUCCACAAUGGCUCUAAUCUUGUCAAGGCGUUUUAAAUGUACCAGCCACCUGAGCCAGACACUGAAGAUCAUUUGGAGGAGGAUGAGGCGACUUUUACAAACAUUGGGGAUGUGCUAGAUAAUGCUGUCGAUGUCAAUGACGUGGUUUUACCCCCGCAUCACAGAUGCGCAUUGCACACAUUGAACCUCAUCUCAUGCACUGAUGUCGAUAAGUGGCUAAUGUCAAAGCCAGAAAUGAAAUCUAUCUACAGAAAUGCUACCACAAAAUGCGCAGGGCUGUGGAACAAGGCAAGUCGGUCAACGAUGGCUUCGGAGAUUGUCAACGACGUUAUUGCUAAGAAGCGCUUGUACCUUGCACCACCAGGUGGAAUUUGUUCUAUGAUGCGGUAGCUCGAAUUUCUGAGAUACCUGUGGCCGAAUUGAAUACAAUAUCCUCACAACUUCAGAUGAAAUGCAUCAAUGAAAGGGAACAUCAGGUCCUUAAAGAGUAUUGUGUAGUGAUGAAGCCACUUACUGUGGCUUUUGACAUUCUGCAAAGCGAGGACAAUUGUUUUUACGGAACACUCUUGCCCACUCUGGAGACGUUGAUGUCUAAUACUCUGGAUUAAAAAAAACACCUCGCAAUCCUUGAUGGCCUACCAGAGGCAAUUAUUCAGGUAAGAGCUGCUAUUUUAUUUUGCAUUUAUAUGUAUCCAAUCAAUAGCUCAGUUGCAUUUAUUGGUGUCUACAUAAUGUGAAGUAUUUAUAAGUGCAGGUCAAUUUAGUAGUGACUGCUCUGUAGUCAGAUUUAUGCUAUAUCCUAAAUAUGUAUAAUGCACUUGUUUUUAAGACUUGUUUUAAUACUCUUGUUAUGUCUUUUGUGUCAUGUAUUUCAGGCAAUCAAAACCAGAUUUGCGCGUGUUCUUGAGGAUAAUGAUGCUCUACUAGCUGCUGCAACCCUACCCUACCCUACCCUAAGUUCAAGUUAGGUUGGCUGCGUGACCAGGAGAGGAAGGACCUUGUAAAAGCAAGUCUAGUAGCAGAAUGCAGAAAAUAUGUCCCAGAGCAGGAUGAGCACCCAGGGGAAACCCCAACAACACAGCGCCGGCCAUCUACCAAAGAGGAUGAAUUCUUUAGCUUUGAUGAGAACACAGCAUCGCCACGUGAUGGUGAGGAGUCUGGUAUCACAGGAUCAACUAACCUCAAAUGUAAUUUCACAUCCACCAAUAAAACUGGGACCCUCUCCCCCAGUAGUGACUCAUGGGGCAUCAGUUCCUCCCUGCUCGUGUGUGGAGUGCAAUUCGCUGUGCUGUUUCUUCUCUUAAUUGUGACGGCCUUUUAUCCUUGGAGGAAAAAGAAAAACAAGUUGUCCGUCGACGGGUUGAACAUCAGGAGAAUUCCGUUAUGAUGGUUGUGUUCUGAUCUUUGACUUUGUGAAUCCAGAGUCGUCUGACUCUUUUCACUCGGUCACUAAAGUCUCUAGUGAGAGAGGGACGCUUUCCUUUUGAUUUAUUGUGGUAUGGAGAUCGUCUUGUUGUGAAGUGCACCGCUGCCUUUGGAGACGGAUGAAGCGUACGCAGCAAAGUCAAAUGGACACUGAAACUCUGAAACUCAUUUUGAUUUUGGAUAUGAUGGUACACUAGAGUUCCACCUUGUGUCACGGUGUGGUUCACUUCCUGUUAUAUUUUGUAGUUUUCUGCCACUCGUGUCCCCGGGUAACUUCACUUC